rnacentral:rRNA from 1 species
GACGAACGCUGGCGGCGUGCCUAAUACAUGCAAGUAGAACGCUGAAGGAGGAGCUUGCUUCUCCGGAUGAGUUGCGAACGGGUGAGUAACGCGUAGGUAACCUGCCUGGUAGCGGGGGAUAACUAUUGGAAACGAUAGCUAAUACCGCAUAAGAGUAGAUGUCGCAUGACAUUUGCUUAAAAGGUGCAACUGCACCACUACCAGAUGGACCUGCGUUGUAUUAGCUAGUUGGUGAGGUAACGGCUCACCAAGGCAACGAUACAUAGCCGACCUGAGAGGGUGAUCGGCCACACUGGGACUGAGACACGGCCCAGACUCCCACGGGAGGCAGCAGUAGGGAAUCUUCGGCAAUGGACGGAAGUCUGACCGAGCAACGCCGCGUGAGUGAAGAAGGUUUUCGGAUCGUAAAGCUCUGUUGUAAGAGAAGAACGAGUGUGAGAGUGGAAAGUUCACACUGUGACGGUAUCUUACCAGAAAGGGACGGCUAACUACGUG